AAAAGACUGGAAGACCUUCCUAUCAUAGCCUGUCAGGGCACUCAAGCUGCUAGAGGGCUUGCUGCUGAGAAAUGGAAAGCAUUUCCCUGCUCAGAGGAAUUUAUACCAACUUCACUGGAGAGUUCUGCAUGUAAUGUUUUAAUUGCUAGGAACAGGAACUAAAGUACAACCAAAAUCGGAGUACAGUUGCUUACAGCUCCUGAUAUGGAAAUCACCUAUUUCACAACUGCUACAACAUGGUUGGCUCACGUCUUACGUCACAGAGAGUACUUUUAUCUAGAUUCAUACAUCUGGCAUUUUAAGUCUUAUGUAUGACAUAAUCAACAUUCAGAGACAUUUCUUUCCACAUUAAGGUAAUGUCAGGGCCAAAUGUUUUACAAAAUCAGGUAUUUUGAAACUAAUUUUUUUCUACUACGUGAAAAAAAUGUAAUUGUUACCACCAGAAUCAAUGUUACCAGUGCACAGAAACCACAUUAUGUCAAUGAAAAUCUGCAAACUUACACAGAUGCUUCUCCUACCUUGGCCCUUUGAGAGCUAUCAAUGAAUGCAGCAAAACAUCUCCCCAAGAAUGAUCCAAAACAUGUUUGUUUGAUUAAAGUUAGUAGCAAAGUAAUAUAUUUUAGCUGAAACAAAUAUUUAUAUACACUUAUUCCAAAGGCUGAUUUUUUUUCUUCUUUUCUCCUGCCUUGGUUCCAGUGAUAGACAGUUUUGUCUCAUUUAUUCGACUACACAGUACUCAUUCUACUCACUUUAGAAGCCAACAAGAAAAAAUGUAUAUUGAAUCUUGAAGCAAACUGGCUCAUUACGAGAACCAAAGCUCUGCUUUCUUAGGUUUAGUACUUUCCUAAGAACAAAACCAAACAUGCAGGAGAAGCUGGUUUUUCUUGUGCAUUGUUUUGAAGGAUCUCUGCAUCCUGGUAGCUAAGCCCAGGAUUGCUCUCCUGUUAGCAUUAGAUCCUGUGCUAAAAUGACAGCUCAGAAGCAUUGUGUACAUUAUGCACAAAUAACGUAUACACUCAUUGACAGUGACAGGAGAAAGCAGUAGGUAGAGCACUUAAAAAAAAACAACAACCAACCACAGUUUGAAUAUUAAACAUAUAAAAUUUUAAAUGCAAAACUACAUGUACAUUUUUUUUAAUAUGAUGAUAAACCACUUGAGAAACAUACUGAAUAAGAGGGAAUUUUAUUUUUUUAUGCCUAAAAUUAGGGGUACCUUCAAUAUAUUAUGAUGUAGCAGCCCCCCCCCCCAGAAAAAAAAACACCCCAAACAAUAAAAACAAUGAAAUGUAUUAGAGAGGAUAAAAAGGCACCAUUUUUCUGCUAUGAAAAGCAUUUGUGAGUCCAGAUUUUGAGAUGUGAAGACCAGAGUGUGAGCAUGAAAAGGACAGUAAAAUUUGAGCAGAUACAGAGAAAAGGUAUUUAAUGUGAUCACGGGGAUGAAGCAGGCUGAUUUUGGAGGAGAGACCAGCAGGACUUUGAUGCCUUAAUUUGGAGAAGACUGAAGAAAGAUGAGCUCAAGGUUUACAAAAUCACAAAGUAGCCAAUAAAACAGACAGAGAAGCAUUACUCAGGAAAUCUUGCAACACUUGUACUCACAGGCAUUUGGUAAUUGGGAAGAGUGAUUUAAAACUUAUUAAAGAGAGAUGAUUAUAUACGUACCAGCUAGUAAGUUCUUCUAGGACUUGCUUACGAAUAGCAGUGGUAUAGGACAAAGCAUGAAAAUGGCACCUAUGGUAUUUAGAUGCUCUGAACUCUGACUAGAGUAAUUCAUGGAGCUUGAAGUGGGUCAGAACAAAGGUACUGCAGACCUAACAACCAGUCCCAAUAACGGUUAGUCAGAGAUGACUGGUCUGGCAGAUGGAUAACUAUAGAUGAUCCUUCCUUCCACCUAAAACUAACAAAUAACUGGAAAUCAAACUAACCACUGAAUUUCAAAGCCAGUGCUGGCCCUAUUCCCCAUCACUUUUUCUGUCAAAAGCAUCCCAUGACAAUGAACUCCACAGUUCAGCAGGCUAAGGACAGGACUUCACUUUGUAUAAGGCCCUAAUACAGCUUUUGCUCAGGACUGCUUUGGCACAUACCCAGUCUGAAAGAAUUUCCUAGUGUGUCACCUACAACAUGCAAAAGCUACACUCGUAAUAAAUCCAGCUUCCCUUGAACAAGAGGUUACAUUUUCUAAUGUCAACCAUCAGAAUAUUUAGUGUGUUCUUGCAUUAUCCUUGUGCUGAAUUACUUGUAGGGGAAUUUGAAGGCAUGUAUAAUUAAUCCAAGAUGUACAUAUGUUUAUGUAGUGUCUGAGUUCUGCUUAGUGGUGAAAGGUUUGAGAGGAGUAAAUUAUUACUUGUCAUAAAGGGAUUUAUUUUACUUUUCGAGAGCCAGUCUGGGGGGUUAAUUUGAUCAUUUCCCCAGUGCAGAAUUACAGAGACUUUGUUUU
ensembl:lncRNA